rnacentral:rRNA from 1 species
CUGGCGGCGUACCUAACACAUGCAAGUCGAACGGGGAUCACAGGGUUAGCAAUAACUCCGUGGUUCUAGUGGCGCACGGGUGAGUAACACGUGGGUAACCUGCCCUUGAGACUGGGAUACCCCCUCGAAAGGGGGGCUAAUACCGGAUACGUUCCUCGGACCGAGAGGUCUGAGGAGGAAAGGUGGCGAAAGCUGCCGCUCUUGGAGGGGCUCGCGGCCUAUCAGCUAGUUGGCGGGGUAACGGCCCACCAAGGCUAUGACGGGUAGCUGGUCUGAGAGGACGACCAGCCACACGGGGACUGAGACACGGCCCCGACUCCUACGGGAGGCAGCAGUGGGGAAUUUUCCGCAAUGGGCGAAAGCCUGACGGAGUGACGCCGCGUGUGGGACGAAGGCCUUCGGGUCGUAAACCACUGUCAGUGGGAAAGAUGGGUGUCGGCGUGAUAACCGCCGGCAUUUGACGGUACCUGCAGAGGAAGCCCCGGCUAACUCUGUGCCAGCAGCCGCGGUAAGACAGAGGGGGCAAGCGUUGCUCGGAAUUACUGGGCGUAAAGGGCGCGUAGGCGGGAUGGCAAGUCGGUCGUGAAAUCCCUCGGCUCAACUGAGGAUCGUCGAUCGAUACUGCCGUUCUUGAGGAUUGCAGAGGAGACUGGAAUUCCCGGUGUAGCGGUGAAAUGUGUAGAGAUCGGGAGGAACACCGGUGGCGAAGGCGGGUCUCUGGGCAAUUCCUGACGCUGAGGCGCGAAAG